rnacentral:lncRNA from 1 species
AGAUUAUUGAAAGCACAGGAGUUCACUUAGAAGUAAUAUGGAAUUAAGCAAUGGAUAUGAAAGAAGAGAGAUAAACAAUCACACCCAGAGUGACUUCCCACUCUUCAUUGUCUCAUGCAAAGGAAAGACAUUCUUUGGGUGAGAUCCUUCCAAAGCAAACAUCCUGAGCACCUAUGCAUCCCACUUGUGGAUCACAGUAGCCAGCAGGCUGACUCACUUAUAUUCAUGCAACUCCCUGGUGCCAGUGAAUUACACUGAGAAUAUUCUAGGCAGCCACAUUGCUGGUGAUGAAAAGGUGGGGAAGUAGAGGGUUACCGAAAUGGUAACUUUCUAGAAAGCUCGUUCUAAGAAUGUUUCUUGAUAUACUGAGAACUAGUAUGUCAGUAUUCUAGCAGGAUCUUUUCUACCAGUAGCUUAUGUGCUUAUAGAGCAAGGGAAUUAAAAUGCAGUGGUUUUAGUUGAAAGUGUUAAUGUCAGGCAGUCUGCAAAAACUCAGUACUUUUCAAGCUUAUUUGCCCUGUACUAUAAUCUAAACUACCUGCCCUGCCAUCUGUUUUUGUUCUGUAAAUAACUGUUCCCAAUCCAACUGCCUACUGAAUAGCAAGCCAGUGAUUCAGUUAAUAAUUAUAAACCUUAACAAUUCAACAAGUAACCGCAUACAAAGAAACUAGAUAUCACAUGUCUGAAUAUUUGAUAGUCAUGCAAGACAGAAAAUGGGGCUUCUGGAACACCAGUCAUGUUGGGAACUGUUGGGGAAGGGGCAGGGCGGGGUAGAUUGUUAGGUUUUGAAUGAAACUUUGCCUUAACGGUUCCAGUUCAAUCUUUCCCACACAAGCUCCUGCCCACAUCUCACAGAAGUAUUAUAUCUGUUCACUUCCUUGUACUUUGCUCCAAGAAUUAGUGAGUCAUGGUUUAAGCACAAAUUCUUAACAUAGGUGCUACAGGCAAACAAAGGAAACCCAAACGCCUCAUUCUUCUAUUUCUUCUUUAAAAGGAAACUCAUGCUGGUGGCAUUUGUGUAACAUUCCUUUUACAUAACAGCAAGAACUUCAUCUGAGGAAAGAAACAGUGGUGCAGCUGUAGGAAGCGGUAGGUGGGGGGUUGCUCUUCGCUCAUCUUUGACCCUUCCUGGCCUUCGCUGUUCAUAAUGCGAUACAACAAUUCCUGGGCCAACCCAGAAUGUGAAGGUGGGACAUAGAAAGGGGGCAUACAAGAGAGGCAGCCUACUUGUCCAGUGUUAGGAAAUGAUGAGAUAGGCUCUUUAAAUGUGUAGGCAACUCAGAUGAGCUGGGGUUAUAUCCUUUUCUGAUCUGAUGUUUAUUGGCUGUGUGACUCUGGCAAUAUAGGGAAGUAUUGCUGGGAGUUAUCACACCGUUUGGCAAAAUCAGGACUAUAACAAAAGGUAAUAGAUAACUUAUCUUUAACUGUGUCUGAUACACACAGAUUCACCAAACCCUAUAGAGUCCAGUUCAGUCUUCUCCUGCAAGACUAGAAACUGAUUUUCUUUGUUUUGGUUUUUGGUUUUGUUGUUGCUGUUUGUUGCUUUGUUUUGUUUUCGUUUUGCCCUGGUAUUUGAGACUGGAGAAGAACUCACAGGACUGUUCUAGAACCAGGAGAGAUGAGCUUGUCUCACCCAGAGCUCACACCUGAGACUUCAGAGCAAACCACACAUUAACUACUGUGUGGCCGGAGAAGGGAAGUAUGCACAUCCCCCUCCUAAUAGUCUUUUGAGUCUCAGAAUGUGGAGAGGUUUUCGGUACUAUCUGAGACAGCUUAUGUUAAUCCAUUAACCUAUCAGUAUCCUGGAUGGAUUUGGUGGUUGCUGUUUGGAUCCAUUUCACACUGGCUGUGUACUGGAUAGAAUGUGAGACAUAGACAAAUGGUGCUUAUAUGAAAGGUGUUCCACUCUGCUCCUGUUGAAUAGCAUUGUCUAAUUCCAGCAAGAGUGCCACAGUUAAUUUAUUUAACAGUCUUUUUGAAGAGAUAUGUUGGACCUUCAUGUUAUUUCUCUUAUGCCACUUUCUGAUUCUGGAUAUUUACCUUUUGUGUGUAUCUGUCCUCUGUGUUCCCGCCUGCUUUGCUUCUGAGUUUGCUCCCCCACAUCUAAACUGGAACCACUCACUUUGUUGCUGUGAGACAGUUUCUCCUAGUAACAUCAGAAGCUACAUUCAAAAGGUCUAACCAACCUGACUGUCGGAUGUGAAAUGAACAAGGACGAAAAAGGAUGAUAGCAAUGAACUUCUGAAGUGGAUGGAGUCCAUGAGGUCUCUACCCUAAACAAGGAACGAUUGAUACGUGAGGAACGCUAGGAGUGAAAGAGAUGCUCUUCCCCAGGGAAGAGCACACUGAUUGGUUAUCUGACACCAACUGAUCAACCCUAGAAACAUAUAUAAAAGGAAUAGUGUACAUUUUGAACAGGGUAUAUUUAGGAAUAUUUAUGUAUAUAUGUGAGUGUAUAUGUAUGUUUAUGUCUGUAUAUGUAUAUGUCUGUACAUAAUAAAAGUAUGUGUAUAUAUGCAUGCAACAAUUAAUGAAAAAAAGUCAUGAAUUUAAAGACUUGGGAGAUGUGGAAGGAAGAAAAAGGAGAAAUGUUAAAUUGUAUUAUAAUAUUAAAAAUCCAAACAAUAUUUAUUCAUAGAAAAAGCAAUAGAAAAUUCACACAAUAUGUUUCUCUCUAGUUAUACAUUUGGACCCAAUAGAUUGUGAUAACAAUUGUCUUUCCACUAAUUCCAAGAUUUAAUUUCUAUUUUUAACUUAUUAUUGCUCCAUUUUUCCAAUACUUAACUUUAAAAAAC